rnacentral:rRNA from 1 species
GGGUUGUGAGGUUAAGCGACUAAGCGUACACGGUGGAUGCCCUGGCAGUCAGAGGCGAUGAAGGACGUGCUAAUCUGCGAUAAGCGUCGGUAAGGUGAUAUGAACCGUUAUAACCGGCGAUUUCCGAAUGGGGAAACCCAGUGUGAUUCGUCACACUAUCAUUAACUGAAUCCAUAGGUUAAUGAGGCGAACCGGGGGAACUGAAACAUCUAAGUACCCCGAGGAAAAGAAAUCAACCGAGAUUCCCCCAGUAGCGGCGAGCGAACGGGGAGCAGCCCAGAGCCUGAAUCAGUGUGUGUGUUAGUGGAAGCGUCUGGAAAGGCGUGCGAUACAGGGUGACAGCCCCGUACACAAAAAUGCACAUGCUGUGAGCUCGAUGAGUAGGGCGGGACACGUGGUAUCCUGUCUGAAUAUGGGGGGACCAUCCUCCAAGGCUAAAUACUCCUGACUGACCGAUAGUGAACCAGUACCGUGAGGGAAAGGCGAAAAGAACCCCGGCGAGGGGAGUGAAAAAGAACCUGAAACCGUGUACGUACAAGCAGUGGGAGCACGCUUAGGCGUGUGACUGCGUACCUUUUGUAUAAUGGGUCAGCGACUUAUAUUCUGUAGCAAGGUUAACCGAAUAGGGGAGCCGAAGGGAAACCGAGUCUUAACUGGGCGUUAAGUUGCAGGGUAUAGACCCGAAACCCGGUGAUCUAGCCAUGGGCAGGUUGAAGGUUGGGUAACACUAACUGGAGGACCGAACCGACUAAUGUUGAAAAAUUAGCGGAUGACUUGUGGCUGGGGGUGAAAGGCCAAUCAAACCGGGAGAUAGCUGGUUCUCCCCGAAAGCUAUUUAGGUAGCGCCUCGUGAAUUCAUCUCCGGGGGUAGAGCACUGUUUCGGCAAGGGGGUCAUCCCGACUUACCAACCCGAUGCAAACUGCGAAUACCGGAGAAUGUUAUCACGGGAGACACACGGCGGGUGCUAACGUCCGUCGUGAAGAGGGAAACAACCCAGACCGCCAGCUAAGGUCCCAAAGUCAUGGUUAAGUGGGAAACGAUGUGGGAAGGCCCAGACAGCCAGGAUGUUGGCUUAGAAGCAGCCAUCAUUUAAAGAAAGCGUAAUAGCUCACUGGUCGAGUCGGCCUGCGCGGAAGAUGUAACGGGGCUAAACCAUGCACCGAAGCUGCGGCAGCGACGCUGAUGCGUUGUUGGGUAGGGGAGCGUUCUGUAAGCCUGCGAAGGUGUGCUGUGAGGCAUGCUGGAGGUAUCAGAAGUGCGAAUGCUGACAUAAGUAACGAUAAAGCGGGUGAAAAGCCCGCUCGCCGGAAGACCAAGGGUUCCUGUCCAACGUUAAUCGGGGCAGGGUGAGUCGACCCCUAAGGCGAGGCCGAAAGGCGUAGUCGAUGGGAAACAGGUUAAUAUUCCUGUACUUGGUGUUACUGCGAAGGGGGGACGGAGAAGGCUAUGUUGGCCGGGCGACGGUUGUCCCGGUUUAAGCGUGUAGGCUGGUUUUCCAGGCAAAUCCGGAAAAUCAAGGCUGAGGCGUGAUGACGAGGCACUACGGUGCUGAAGCAACAAAUGCCCUGCUUCCAGGAAAAGCCUCUAAGCAUCAGGUAACAUCAAAUCGUACCCCAAACCGACACAGGUGGUCAGGUAGAGAAUACCAAGGCGCUUGAGAGAACUCGGGUGAAGGAACUAGGCAAAAUGGUGCCGUAACUUCGGGAGAAGGCACGCUGAUAUGUAGGUGAAGCGACUUGCUCGUGGAGCUGAAAUCAGUCGAAGAUACCAGCUGGCUGCAACUGUUUAUUAAAAACACAGCACUGUGCAAACACGAAAGUGGACGUAUACGGUGUGACGCCUGCCCGGUGCCGGAAGGUUAAUUGAUGGGGUCAGCGCAAGCGAAGCUCUUGAUCGAAGCCCCGGUAAACGGCGGCCGUAACUAUAACGGUCCUAAGGUAGCGAAAUUCCUUGUCGGGUAAGUUCCGACCUGCACGAAUGGCGUAAUGAUGGCCAGGCUGUCUCCACCCGAGACUCAGUGAAAUUGAACUCGCUGUGAAGAUGCAGUGUACCCGCGGCAAGACGGAAAGACCCCGUGAACCUUUACUAUAGCUUGACACUGAACAUUGAGCCUUGAUGUGUAGGAUAGGUGGGAGGCUUUGAAGUGUGGACGCCAGUCUGCAUGGAGCCGACCUUGAAAUACCACCCUUUAAUGUUUGAUGUUCUAACGUGGACCCGUGAUCCGGGUUGCGGACAGUGUCUGGUGGGUAGUUUGACUGGGGCGGUCUCCUCCUAAAGAGUAACGGAGGAGCACGAAGGUUGGCUAAUCCUGGUCGGACAUCAGGAGGUUAGUGCAAUGGCAUAAGCCAGCUUGACUGCGAGCGUGACGGCGCGAGCAGGUGCGAAAGCAGGUCAUAGUGAUCCGGUGGUUCUGAAUGGAAGGGCCAUCGCUCAACGGAUAAAAGGUACUCCGGGGAUAACAGGCUGAUACCGCCCAAGAGUUCAUAUCGACGGCGGUGUUUGGCACCUCGAUGUCGGCUCAUCACAUCCUGGGGCUGAAGUAGGUCCCAAGGGUAUGGCUGUUCGCCAUUUAAAGUGGUACGCGAGCUGGGUUUAGAACGUCGUGAGACAGUUCGGUCCCUAUCUGCCGUGGGCGCUGGAGAACUGAGGGGGGCUGCUCCUAGUACGAGAGGACCGGAGUGGACGCAUCACUGGUGUUCGGGUUGUCAUGCCAAUGGCACUGCCCGGUAGCUAAAUGCGGAAGAGAUAAGUGCUGAAAGCAUCUAAGCACGAAACUUGCCCCGAGAUGAGUUCUCCCUGACUCCUUGAGAGUCCUGAAGGAACGUUGAAGACGACGACGUUGAUAGGCCGGGUGUGUAAGCGCAGCGAUGCGUUGAGCUAACCGGUACUAA